UGUUCAGUCGACCUUACAAUAUCAUGUCAUUUAGAAAUCAAUAGUAUUCUAUCUUUUAAGAAAACAUUCAGGAAUCACUGCUCUUUGCAUUUUCAUUCAUUAGUCAUUACUUGAGAAUAUGGUGUAUUAGUUGUUUCUUAACCUAUUUUCCUGUCAAGCUAGAUGGGUCAUAUGAUCUUCUGGUUCUAACAGUUUGGUCGCAUCGGUGGAAGACUGGUCCAUGCUCCGGUUCAUCAGAGGGGACAUCGGUCAGGGGCACAUCUGCAAGGCCUCAUCUACGUCUUCUUCUUCGCUGAAGAUGUUGGCCUACCUUCCUCAGGCUAUCUCUCUCUGUGGAAUCCUGCUAUGCGGCGAGGGCAGAGAUUAGGUUGCCGCUGCAGUUUACAAAUGCCAUGGUCCUAAUUUGACUGGUCAUAUUGGGCACACAGGUAAAAGAAGAGUACAACAGUGGACAUCAGAACUUUAUUCUUGAGCUCCCAUUCUUAAUUGGACACCACAAGAGUACAACAGUUUGCUUGACCUUUGCGAGCCCAUUGCAGUUCUCAAGUGCAAACCGCUUAUUGCUCACUUCUGAAACAAAAUAACAAAAGCAUUGAAAAGUCAUUCUGAGAUUCACAAAAUAAGAGAUGCCCGCUGUUAGGACAUAUUUGAAUAAUCCUUUUGGUUUCUGUAUAUGGUCUCUUCCUAGCUAUUACAUAUGAAUUGGUAUAUUGCAUACUAACUGGAGGUUUGAUAAUUUUUAAUGAUGUGUUACUCAUAUAUAUAUAGUCCAUCGGGUACCAGGUUAAAGGACAUUGCUUAACAACUUUUGGCUUCUAAAAUUUAUUCAGUUAAGAUUAAGAUGCAGAUAUGUUUUGAAUAAGAAGAGAACUCCUAAGUAACACUUCGUACAGUAUGCAAUAUUUUUUUUUAGCACGACAUAAGUAUAGCUACUUACUUUUAUACCAAAAUCUUUUCUUCAGUUGGUUUCUCUACUUCCUCACUACGCUUUUGAUUGUUAUUCGUGCGCGAAACAGUUUGUUAAGUCAAUUGUAAUUUGCACAGUGAGGUUCUAACCUAUCCACUGAAAAUAUCGUUUGUAACAAAUAUCUCGAGAUCUUGGUGAGCAUGGAUUUUGUACAAUCUGCUUUUUUAUCUUCUUUUCUUG